CGGGCGUCUACGGCGGUGGUCAGGUCGGCGGGCGUAAAGGGCUUGGGCAGGUAGUCGUCGGCGCCCAGGUUCAUGCCCCGGCGCACGUC
rnacentral:tRNA from 1 species